AGGGUUUGAUCAUGGCUCAGAUUGAACGCUGGCGGCAGGCCUAACACAUGCAAGUCGAACGGUAACAGGAAACAGCUUGCUGUUUCGCUGACGAGUGGCGGACGGGUGAGUAAUGUCUGGGAAACUGCCUGAUGGAGGGGGAUAACUACUGGAAACGGUAGCUAAUACCGCAUAACGUCGCAAGACCAAAGAGGGGGACCCUCGGGCCUCUUGCCAUCGGAUGUGCCCAGAUGGGAUUAGCUUGUUGGUGGGGUAACGGCUCACCAAGGCGACGAUCCCUAGCUGGUCUGAGAGGAUGACCAGCCACACUGGAACUGAGACACGGUCCAGACUCCUACGGGAGGCAGCAGUGGGGAAUGUUGCACAAUGGGCGCAAGCCUGAUGCAGCCAUGCCGCGUGUAUGAAGAAGGCCUUCGGGUUGUAAAGUACUUUCAGCGGGGAGGAAGGGAGUAAAGUUAAUACCUUUGCUCAUUGACGUUACCCGCAGAAGAAGCACCGGCUAACUCCGUGCCAGCAGCCGCGGUAAUACGGAGGGUGCAAGCGUUAAUCGGAAUUACUGGGCGUAAAGCGCACGCAGGCGGUUUGUUAAGUCAGAUGUGAAAUCCCCGGGCUCAACCUGGGAACUGCAUCUGAUACUGGCAAGCUUGAGUCUCGUAGAGGGGGGUAGAAUUCCAGGUGUAGCGGUGAAAUGCGUAGAGAUCUGGAGGAAUACCGGUGGCGAAGGCGGCCCCCUGGACGAAGACUGACGCUCAGGUGCGAAAGCGUGGGGAGCAAACAGGAUAGAUACCCUGGUAGUCCACGCCGUAAACGAUGUCGACUUGGAGGUUGUGCCCUUGAGGCGUGGCUUCCGGAGCUAACGCGUUAAGUCGACCGCCUGGGGAGUACGGCCGCAAGGUUAAAACUCAAAUGAAUUGACGGGGGCCCGCACAAGCGGUGGAGCAUGUGGUUUAAUUCGAUGCAACGCGAAGAACCUUACCUGGUCUUGACAUCCACGGAAGUUUUCAGAGAUGAGAAUGUGCCUUCGGGAACCGUGAGACAGGUGCUGCAUGGCUGUCGUCAGCUCGUGUUGUGAAAUGUUGGGUUAAGUCCCGCAACGAGCGCAACCCUUAUCCUUUGUUGCCAGCGGUCCGGCCGGGAACUCAAAGGAGACUGCCAGUGAUAAACUGGAGGAAGGUGGGGAUGACGUCAAGUCAUCAUGGCCCUUACGACCAGGGCUACACACGUGCUACAAUGGCGCAUACAAAGAGAAGCGACCUCGCGAGAGCAAGCGGACCUCAUAAAGUGCGUCGUAGUCCGGAUUGGAGUCUGCAACUCGACUCCAUGAAGUCGGAAUCGCUAGUAAUCGUGGAUCAGAAUGCCACGGUGAAUACGUUCCCGGGCCUUGUACACACCGCCCGUCACACCAUGGGAGUGGGUUGCAAAAGAAGUAGGUAGCUUAACCUUCGGGAGGGCGCUUACCACUUUGUGAUUCAUGACUGGGGUGAAGUCGUAACAAGGUA
rnacentral:rRNA from 1 species